rnacentral:rRNA from 1 species
UCGGGAAUUUUGGGCAAUGGGGGCAACCCUGACCCAGCAACGCCGCGUGAGGGAUGAAGGCCUUCGGGUCGUAAACCUCUGUCGGGAGGGAAGAAAGGCGAACGGUCGAAUAGGCCGGGCACUUGACGGUACCUCCAAAGGAAGCACCGGCUAACUCCGUGCCAGCAGCCGCGGUAAUACGGAGGGUGCGAGCGUUGUUCGGAAUCUUUGGGCGUAAAGCGCGUGUAGGCGGCUUGGCAAGUCGGGUGUGAAAGGCCGGGGCUCAACGCCGGAACUGCACUCGAAACUGCCUCGCUCGAGUCCCGGAGAGGAAGGCGGAAUUCCCGGUGUAGAGGUGAAAUUCGUAGAUAUCGGGAGGAACACCAGUGGCGAAGGCGGCCUUCUGGACGGUGACUGACGCUGAGACGCGAAAGCGUGGGGAGCAAACAGGAUUAGAUACCCCCGUAGUCC